rnacentral:rRNA from 1 species
GACGAACGCUGGCGGCGUGCUUAACACAUGCAAGUCGAACGGAGUUACGUUUUCGGAUGUAACUUAGUGGCGAACGGGUGAGUAACGCGUGAGGAACCUGCCUCUCAGUGGGGGACAACAGUUGGAAACGACUGCUAAUACCGCAUAAAUGUCAUGAAUCGGCAUUGGUUUAUGACCAAAGAUUUAUUGCUGAGAGAUGGCCUCGCGUCUGAUUAGCUAGUUGGUGGGGUAACGGCCCACCAAGGCGACGAUCAGUAGCCGGACUGAGAGGUUGACCGGCCACAUUGGGACUGAGAUACGGCCCAG